rnacentral:rRNA from 1 species
UACGGGGGGAGCAAGCGUUGUUCGGAUUUACUGGGCGUAAAGGGCGCGUAGGCGGCCUCUGCAAGUCGACUGUGAAAUCUCCGGGCUUAACCCGGAACGGUCAGCCGAUACUGCAGGGCUAGAGUGCAGAAGGGGCAACUGGAAUUCUCGGUGUAGCGGUGAAAUGCGUAGAUAUGACAUAGAACACCAAUUGCGAAGGCAGCUGGCUACACGAAUAUUGACACUGAUGCACGAAAGCGUGGGGAUCAAACAGG